CGCUUGAAAAACCAAACGCAGAAGGUGAGGAUACCCUUUUGAGUGCAUAAAAGAACAUCAAUUGAAGAACGGGAAAGCAGAGAAGAAAAUAACAAUAGGAUAUAUACAUCUAUAAGACACAUGACCAUUCUUACAUGUAACUGGAUAAAGGAAUGUUUAUAUUGUAUUUUAUAUGCAAUUAUAUUAGAUCCAAGAAGCACCAGCCUUUGUGGUAAGAAAUAUUUCUGCAAUGUACCCACGUGUUCUAAUUAAACUAUAACUAACUAUAGCAGUUGUUUAACCUUUCCUUUUGUGUAAUUUUUAGCCUUUGAUUAAUCAUAUAUACAUAUUUCAAAGAUGUACUGUUUACUGAAAUUUAAAAACAAAAACAACUUUGAUUUAGGAAGGUAUUUGCUGAUUUUGAUAUAGUGAUCCACGGAUCCAAUUUACAAAAUAACAAACUUGUAUCUAUCGAUUACCAAUAGAAACAGUAGAUCUAGAUUAAUAAAUUCGUCAACAGGUUAAGGAAACGUACAAUGUUUUAUUGUAACAACAUUAGUGAUAGAUUACAAUUGCAUCAUCUGAUAGAUUCUACACAUUUUGCAAACCUUUUUGUCAAGGACAUCUAAAUGCUAUUUAGAAAACGAUUGAUUGUAUUGUUCACUUUUAAAUCAUAUAUUCGUGAGCCUUGCCGCCUGUUUCUUUCUUAUUUUGUGUUCAUUAGUAUAUAAUUAAUUAAUGUUAAUUUAUGUUAAUCGAUACUCAGGCAGUGGUGCCGUUCAACGGCCAUUUUAUUGUAAUUGAUAAUAGACAAUUUUAUCGCUACAUAUAUACACGACAUCAUUAUCAACCAAAGGCUUUUAUACGUUUGUUUAUAAAAUAGUUCAAAAGAAACAUUGCCUAAUAAAAGAGUCGUUAUUUUUUAUUAUUCUAAACAAUUAUGUAUUAUUUUGAUUGUUGACAAUUUUUCAUUACACGCGUUUUUUUCUCUUUAUAGAUAAUUAUAGUUCUUGUUGUAUUAAAUUUCUCUUGUUGUGAAAUGCAUUCUAUUGUAAGCUUUUUGUAUAUUCUCCGAGGUUCACAUAGCAAAGGUCUAUUGUCCAUACCUUAUUGAUCACCAAAAAAUACCUAUGCUUUUAUUAAUGCUUUUGUUUCGUAAUGUAUCUGGUGAUUGUAAUUAAAUUUUCAUUUCCAUCGAGUGUUGUACAUAUUAAGCAAUAAUUUAUGAUUAUGUUAUAAUCUAUGAUUGAUUGGCUCAAUAAAUAAGGAUACGCUU
rnacentral:misc_RNA from 1 species